rnacentral:rRNA from 1 species
UCGAUUAGAGUUUGAUCCUGGCUCAGGAUGAACGCUGGCGGCGUGCUUUAGGCAUGCAAGUCGAACGCUCCAGCCGCAAGGCAGGAGAGUGGCGGACGGGUGAGUAAUAGUAAGGAAUCUACCUCGAAGUGGAGGAUAGCUCGUCGAAAGGCGGGGUAAUCCUGCAUAUUCCCCGAUUUAAUCGGGGCAAAGGGCGUAACUGCCCGCUUUGGGAGGAGCCUUAUUCCUAUCAGCUUGUUGGUGGGGUAACUGCCUACCAAGGCUAUGACGGGUAGCUGGUGUGAGAGCAUGACCAGCCACAAUGGCACUGAGACACGGGCCAUACACCUACGGGUGGCAGCAACCGGGAAUCGUCGGCAAUGGACGAAAGUCUGACCGCGCGACGCCGCGUGAAGGAUGAAGCCCUGCGGGGUGUAAACUUCUUUUAUUCCGUCACCGAGACGGUUUGAAUAAGCGCCUACUAACUACGUGCCAGCAGUCGCGGUAAUACGUAGGGCGCAAGCGUUAUCCGGAUUUAUUGGGCGUAAAGGGUCGCGUAGGCGGUUUACUACAUCUUACUUUAAAUGGUUCCGCUUAACGGAAUCACGGGUAAGACAUGGGUAGACUAGAGGAUUGGUGGAGUUUCUGGAACUUCCGGUGUAGUAGUGAAAUGCGUUGAUAUCGGAAGGAACACCAAGAGCGAAGGCAAGAAACUAAUCAAUUUCUGACGCUGAGGCACGAAAGCUAGGGUAGCGAAGCAGAUUAGAGACCUGCGUAGUCCUAGCCGUAAACGCAUGGGUGCUAGUUGGUCGUCCCGUAAAGUAAAUAAACCCUUUUUGUUUAUUUUACGGGAUGACUGACGCAAGCUAACGCGUUAAGCACCCCGCCUGGGAUAAACCCGU